UUGAACGCUGGCGGCAUGCCUUACACAUGCAAGUCGAACGGUAACAGGUCUUCGGAUGCUGACGAGUGGCGAACGGGUGAGUAAUACAUCGGAACGUGCCCGAGAGUGGGGGAUAACGGAGCGAAAGCUUUGCUAAUACCGCAUACGAUCUACGGAUGAAAGCAGGGGAUCGCAAGACCUUGCGCGACAGGAGCGGCCGAUAUCGGAUUAGCUAGUUGGUGAGGUAAAGGCUCACCAAGGCGACGAUCCGUAGCUGGUCUGAGAGGACGACCAGCCACACUGGAACUGAGACACGGUCCAGACUCCUACGGGAGGCAGCAGUGGGGAAUUUUGGACAAUGGGGGCAACCCUGAUCCAGCCAUUCCGCGUGAGUGAAGAAGGCCUUCGGGUUGUAAAACUCUUUCGGCAGGAACGAAACGGUCGUCUCUAAUAUAGAUGGCUAAUGACGGUACCUGAAGAAGAAGCACCGGCUAACUACGU
rnacentral:rRNA from 1 species